rnacentral:tRNA from 1 species
GGAGAGAUGACCGAGUUGGCCGAAGGUGCACGACUGGAAAUCGUGUGUACUGUCAAAAACGGUACCGUGGGUUCGAAUCCCACUCUCUCCGCCA